rnacentral:lncRNA from 1 species
UAGGACCCCACCCCCUCCUGUCAUCGUCUUCUUUGACGCCAACUACCCCAAAAGAGCCCAUCAUUCUGCUUUUCUUCUCCAAUGGAGAGCCAACCAACAACCCUAUCACCUCCCUCCAUGGCUUGAGCUUCAACCAAGAAAAUCAGCCGCUGAACACGGAGAACGACCCCUCAUCUAACCUCCUUCUUCUUCAGCUAAAAGAGAACGCGAAAGAACGAAACCCAUCUGCUUCUGCACUCCGUCAACAACCAGACCCCCUUAAUUUCGAGUUGACCCCUGCUUCUUCUUCAACUCGCGGGAAACCGGUCUAAAAAAUCACACAUGCAUGAACAGUAAGGAGGAACAGACGUACACGGAAUGAAAAUCAGAGGUGUUUUGUAUAUAAAUUAGGAAGAAAUCAUGGAAAGUUCCGAAGAGUUCACAAAAAUCCCUGCCAAUUCAAUCCUUUUAAUGUCAUUUUUUGCUUCUCAAAUCUGAAAAGAACAUACACUAUAGCUUCUAAUUUUAAUCUUCUCUUAUGGGAUGUGAUGGAGUCGAGGGGAGUUCGAUCUGAUUGUCCUCCGUCGAUUAUUUGUCUCCAAGGUUUCGUUCGGGUCGGAUUGCUUUUUGAUUUCUGAUUGAGGCUAUGGUUCCAUUCCGUUCAUGUAAUUGCUGGAUUUUGUUUAUCAAUCAAAAGGCUAUUUCAGGUUCAUUGUUUCUCCCUCUGUUAUUUGUGGUAUUUGUGUCUUAUAUUUCAUAGUUAAAAAUGGAGGAAGCUUAUGUUUGAUUGUUUUGACUCCAUCGUGUGAAUAUUGUGUUGGUGUAAAUUUUCAGCUCAAUAUUUUUGCUUAGUGUAGAUUUCUUUUGUUCUCGAGAUCUGAUUUGUAGUAGACUUUGUUAUCAAACUCAUUCUAUAGUCUGCCAUCAUGAGUUUCGAAAAUGAUAAUUUCUUAUCUUAUUUUAGUUGUGAUAUUGUUAAAUAGAUCAACUAUUGACAGUAUAUCAAUGAAAUGGGCAUAUUUUGGUUGCGAUUUCCUCAUCUUGUCUGCAAGUUCAUUCACAGUUUGUGUUCAAUCAAGUGAAG